rnacentral:tRNA from 7 species
GGAGAGGUCGCAUAGUUGGCCUAGUGCGCUGGUUUGCUAAAUCAGUGUGGGGUUACACCCACCGAGGGUUCGAAUCCCUCCCUCUCCG